GCCAGCAGCUAGCUCUCUAUAACUUUCACAUGGACGCCCACUGAAGCUAAGCAAGACAGUGCCCGGUCAGUACCUGGAUGGGAGACCACAUGGGAAAGCCAGGUUGCUGCCGCAA
ensembl:rRNA 5S_rRNA 5S ribosomal RNA